UGAGGAAUAUUGGUCAAUGGGCGAGAGCCUGAACCAGCCAAGUCGCGUGAAGGAUGACGGCCCUACGGGUUGUAAACUUCUUUUGUCAGGGAGCAAUUGGGUCCACGCGUGGGCUUAGCGAGAGUACCUGAAGAAAAAGCAUCGGCUAACUCCGUGCCAGCAGCCGCGGUAAUACGGAGGAUGCGAGCGUUAUCCGGAUUUAUUGGGUUUAAAGGGUGCGUAGGCGGAAUAUCAAGUCAGCGGUAAAAAUUCGGGGCUCAACCCCGUCGUGCCGUUGAAACUGAUGUUCUUGAGUGGGCGAGA
rnacentral:rRNA from 1 species